UUUCGCUGACGAGUGGCGGACGGGUGAGUAAUGUCUGGGAAACUGCCUGAUGGAGGGGGAUAACUACUGGAAACGGUAGCUAAUACCGCAUAACGUCGCAAGACCAAAGAGGGGGACCCUCGGGCCUCUUGCCAUCGGAUGUGCCCAGAUGGGAUUAGCUUGUUGGUGGGGUAACGGCUCACCAAGGCGACGAUCCCUAGCUGGUCUGAGAGGAAGGUCCCCCACAUUGGAACUGAGACACGGUCCAAACUCCUACGGGAGGCAGCAUG
rnacentral:rRNA from 1 species